rnacentral:rRNA from 1 species
UACGUAGGGGGCAAGCGUUGUCCGGAAUCAUUGGGCGUAAAGAGCGUGUAGGCGGCCCGAUAAGUCCGCUGUGAAAGUCCAGGGCUCAACCCUGGAAUGCCGGUGGAUACUGUCGGGCUCGAAUCCGGAAGAGAUGAGUGGAAUUCCUGGUGUAGCGGUGAAAUGCGCAGAUAUCAGGAGGAACACCAAUGGCGAAGGCAGCUCACUGGGACGGUAUUGACGCUGAGACGCGAAAGCGUGGGGAGCAAACAGG